rnacentral:lncRNA from 1 species
AGAAGGCAAGCAGGCCAGGACCAAGGUACCCAAGAUUCAAUGUCUUGUUACCUCCAGUUUCCCACGACACAAAUGCCAACAUAUUGCUCUGAAGAAACGAGGCAGAAAUAAAAUCAAUAAGUCUGCAGAACAGGAUGAACUUCAGGCCAAGAGAGUGAAGGAGCCAAAGAAAAAUGCCAGGAACACAUCACCAGGGGACAGAGACUGCCUUCAUGAGAGCUUCUGAAUCCAGUCGAAAAUAACUCUUAAAGGGUAAAAAA